rnacentral:piRNA from 1 species
UGUUCCCUCAAGAUCAUCGCUUCAAAAG